CAGUCGCCGCGGUAAUACGAAGGGGGCUAGCGUUGCUCGGAAUGACUGGGCGUAAAGGGCGCGUAGGCGGAAUGUACAGUCAGACGUGAAAUUCCUGGGCUUAACCUGGGGGCUGCAUUUGAUACGUGUUGUCUAGAGUGAGGAAGAGGGUCGUGGAAUUCCCAGUGUAGAGGUGAAAUUCGUAGAUAUUGGGAAGAACACCGGUGGCGAAGGCGGCGACCUGGUCCUUUACUGACGCUGAGGCGCGAAAGCGUGGGGAGCAAACAGGAUUAGAGACCCCCGUAGUCCCUGUCUCUUAUAC
rnacentral:rRNA from 1 species